rnacentral:rRNA from 1 species
UGAGCAACCUACCGAAAUGUGGGGAUAGCCGGCCUAACGGCCGAGUAAUACCGCAUACGCUCUCGAUGAGGCAUUUCAUUGAGAGGAAACCUACGGGACAUUUCGAGGGCUCGCGGCCUAUCAGCUAGUUGGCGAGGUAACGGCUCACCAAGGCAACGACGGGUAGCUGGU